rnacentral:lncRNA from 1 species
UUUUUAAUCUUCCAGCAUAGAACAUUCCACAUUCUGCUUCACACACGGUGACUCACUCACUACUGCUUUGCACCAGUGUGCCCACUCAGAGUGCCUAUAAAGUACAAGCUCCAGAUCGAAAAAGCUUCUAGAUGGAUCCUUUCCAGACUCGGUGUCUUUUCUACAAACUCUGUGCCUCAACAACCAUUUCUGAGUGCUUCAGCACCAGUCAGCAAAGUGAAUAAGUACUGUGCUUCUUCC